CUUCACCGACCCGAGCCACAGCGGCGUUUCCCGGUUCUGGCCGUAGGUGGCCAGCAGCGCCUCGGCCUC
rfam:Amycolatopsis mediterranei S699, complete genome.